rnacentral:rRNA from 1 species
UACGGGGGGGGCAAGCGUUGUUCGGAAUUACUGGGCGUAAAGGGUUCGUAGGUGGCCAACUAAGUCAGACGUGAAAUCCCUCAGCUUAACUGGGGAACUGCGUCUGAUACUGGUUGGCUUGAGUGCAGGAGAGGAACGCGGAAUUCCAGGUGUAGCGGUGAAAUGUGUAGAGAUCGGGAGGAACACCGGUGGCGAAGGCGGGUCUCUGGGCAUCUCCUGACGCUGAGGCGCGAAAGCGUGGGGAGCAAACGGG